ACCUGGAUGGCUCAGUUGGUUGAGUGUCUGACUUUGGCCCAGGCCAUGAUCCUGCACUUUGUGGGCUCAAGUCCCACUUCAGGCU
rnacentral:tRNA from 1 species